ACUCAGCCGUGAAAUACGAUCGAACCCCAGACCGGGGGACCCAAAAGUAGGUGAAAAGCAGGAAAAGAAAAGGAAAGGCGCGACAAAUUUGAAGUGAAGCUCCUCUUCUUUCUUUCUCUUUUUCCCGGAAAAAAAGAGA
ensembl:ncRNA F08G5.13 ncRNA